rnacentral:rRNA from 1 species
UACCCUGAUAGUAGGAACGAGUUUUAAAACGGCUUCGGGACUCUUUUCCCUUUUUCCACUCUGUUUACAAACUACUCCUUUAACGCUUACUAUUUUUCUUGUACUUUAAAGAACUUCUACAGCGUUUUGAUCGUCGACUUACGAACUUUUACCUCCUAUUUUACGCAGGUCUUUACCAACUUCAGCGCCUGUCUGAAUCCUGUUAAUCUUUCCGGAUGGCGGUGGUGUUCCCGUAUUUACGAUGUCCAUCGUUGAGACCUGAAGGAUUUUCACCUUUCCGUCUCCUGCACUAUGGUAAUCACCAUGGUAGGUAAAGGUACCUAUUUGACUUCCUUCAUUGGUCCUUGAAAUCGUAACUACGAGAUUAUCCUGUCUCGAAUGUCUAAUUUAAGAAAAAACCUCACGACUUUCUACCUGCAUUUAGGUACUAGUACUUCUAAUCCGGAUGAUGUCUUUAACAAAACCUCCAAGGCCACCAGAGUUCUAAGUCUGUACUCUUACAAGAGGUCGAAGAGCCUGUGACACAACUUCCUCUGUUGGCCCAAGAACGAACGCUCAUUUUCGUUACAAAGCCCUCGACUUGCUCCUGGACAAGAUAGUACCUGCGUUGCGUACUCCUAACGGUACCUACGACGUCGACCCGAACUCAAGGAGGUGCUCUUUCGUGUCGGAACGUAUUAGGUGUCAACGUAGUCCAGGUCGUUGUAUAAAGAGAAACUGUCCCUGCAACGUUUCUAACCAACCGGACCACAAAGGUCUGUCCGAUUGAUGACGUGUCUUCGACAGACAAAACAAAGAGCACCAAUACUGCGCGGACUCUGACAUUGCCCGCCAGUUGUAAGAUGCUACUCGCUACAGGUGUCGAAGCCCCAACAGGACGAUCUUGAAAAUUGGCCAGCUUUCCUUGAACUAACAUGUGAUGG